rnacentral:rRNA from 1 species
UACGGGGGGAGCAAGCGUUGUUCGGAUUUACUGGGCGUAAAGGGCGCGUAGGCGGCCACCGCAAGUCGACUGUGAAAUCUCCGGGCUUAACCCGGAAAGGUCAGCCGAUACUGCGGGGCUAGAGUGCAGAAGGGGCAACUGGAAUUCUCGGUGUAGCGGUGAAAUGCGUAGAUAUCGAGAGGAACACCUGCGGCGAAAGCGGCUCACUGGACCAUAACUGACGCUGAUGCACGAAAGCUAGGGGAGCAAACAGG